UACGGGGGGGGCAAGCGUUGUUCGGAAUUACUGGGCGUAAAGGGUUCGUAGGUGGCCAACUAAGUCAGACGUGAAAUCCCUCAGCUUAACUGGGGAACUGCGUCUGAUACUGGUUGGCUUGAGUGCAGGAGAGGAACGCGGAAUUCCAGGUGUAGCGGUGAAAUGCGUAGAUAUCCGGAGGAACACCAGUGGCGAAAGCGGCCACCUGGACUGUACCUGACGCUCAAACACGAAAGCUAGGGGAGCGAACGGG
rnacentral:rRNA from 1 species